rnacentral:rRNA from 1 species
CCUACGGGGGGCAGCAGUGGGGGAUAUUGCACAAUGGGGGGAACCCUGAUGCAGCGACGCCGCGUGGGUGAAGAAGCGCCUCGGCGCGUAAAGCCCUGUCAGCAGGGAAGAAAAUGACGGUACCUGAAGAAGAAGCCCCGGCUAACUACGUGCCAGCAGCCGCGGUAAUACGUAGGGGGCAAGCGUUAUCCGGAUUUACUGGGGGUAAAGGGGGCGCAGACGGCGAUGCAAGCCAGGAGUGAAAGUCCAUGGCUUAACCAUGGUACUGCUCUGGAAACUGUGGAGCUUGAGUGCGGGAGGGGCAGGCGGAAUUCCUAGUGUAGCGGUGAAAUGCGUAGAUAUUAGGAGGAACACCGGCGGCGAAGGCGGCCUGUUGGACCGUAACUGACGUUGAGGCUCGAAAGCGUGGGGAGCAAACAGGAUUAGAUACCCCUGUAGUC